rnacentral:rRNA from 1 species
CCUACGGUGGACAGCAGUGAGGAAUAUUGGUCAAUGGACGAGAGUCUGAACCAGCCAAGUAGCGUGCAGGAUGACUGCCCUACGGGUCGUAAACCUCUUUUAUAAAGGAAUAAAACGAUGCACUUGUGCCUUUUUGCAUGUACUUUACGAAUAAGGACCGGCUAACUCCGUGCCAGCAGCCGCGGUAAUACGGAGGACCCGAGCGUUAUCCGGAUUCAUUGGGUUUAAAGGGAGCGUAGAUGGGUUGUUAAGUCAGUUGUGAAAGUUUGCGGAUCAACCGUAAAAUUGCAAUUGAUACUGGCAGUUUUGAGUACAGUUGAGGUAGGCGGAAUUCGGGGUGUAGCGGUGAAAUGCUUAGAUAUCACGAAGAACCCCGAUUGCGAAGGCAGCUUACUAAGCUGUGACUGACAUUGAUGCUCGAAGGUGUGGGUAUCAAACAGGAGUAGAUACCCCGGUAGUC